UCGCUACUACCGAUGGAACGAUUUAGUGAGCUGCACGGACCAGUACUCUUGCUUGGUUUCCUUGCUUGAGUACUCGGGAAGUGACGCAAACUUGACCGUUUAGAGGAAGUAA
rnacentral:rRNA from 1 species